rnacentral:lncRNA from 1 species
AACAAGUUUUUAGCCAUUUCGAAUCAGAUAAAAACCUUAGCCACACGCCGUUUAGAAGCCUGGCCAUUCAAAGGCCAAUCGAUCCCUGUCUGAACUUCGAUUGCGACAGAGUGAGCAAGGAUUCGACACCACCAAGUAAUUUUCUCACCUUAAAUCGUUUUUUUCUUUUUUUACACAUGAUGAGUAAACAAAUAGAUGAGUCUAGAACAGAAAAGAAAAACAACGAAAAGAAAAAAAAAGGUUUCAAAUCACCUUUAGAAAAUUCUGAUUCUUUGAUUUUUCGUCCCCUUUUAUAGAUUUUUAAUUGGCUUUUUAUAGCCGAAACGAAAAAAAGAAAAUAUGUAAAAAAGAAAUCUAUUAUGUUAUCUAGCUAUUUUCAUUUGCUGGCAUAUUGUUGCUCGCUUUUUACUGUUAUUCGUUUCUGUUUCAGGUGUACGAAGGAGCGAUGACGUGGAGGUGCAACACGCGUGGAGGCCUGGUUCCCAGCUGCGGCGUGGACUGUUCCAAAAACCCUAGGGGUUUCUGGAGAUUUCAAAUUGGGCCACUUCAAAUCGGGCUAGGGUUUAAUUAAGUCUAGGAUUGUAUUAGGUCUAGGAUUGGGUUAGAUUUUGGGUUUAGGCCUCAAUCCGAAUUUGGCCUAUUGUAACUGAACUUUUGGACUUAUUAAUGGUUAUUUUGGGUAUUGGGCUAUUAGGGUUUGUUGGGUUUGGGUUUUAGAUAUUUGGGCUGAUUUGUGUUUGUUUAUUUUGGGUUGUUUGUGUAAUUCUGGAAUUUUUA